rnacentral:rRNA from 1 species
UACGAAGGGGGCUAGCGUUGUUCGGAUUUACUGGGCGUAAAGCGCACGUAGGCGGACUAUUAAGUCAGGGGUGAAAUCCCGGGGCUCAACCCCGGAACUGCCUUUGAUACUGGUAGUCUUGAGUUCGAGAGAGGUGAGUGGAAUUCCGAGUGUAGAGGUGAAAUUCGUAGAUAUUCGGAGGAACACCUGUGGCGAAGGCGGCUAUCUGGUCCAAUUCUGACGCUGAGGCGCGAAAGGUAGGGGAGCAAACAGG